GCUGGGAUAGAUCAGUUGGUAGAGCACUCUUAAUGUCAAGGUUGUGGGUUCAAGCCCCACAUUGGGCA